rnacentral:rRNA from 1 species
CCUACGGGAGGCAGCAGUGGGGAAUAUUGCACAAUGGGCGAAAGCCUGAUGCAGCAACGCCGCGUGAGCGAUGAAGGCCUUCGGGUCGUAAAGCUCUGUCCUCAAGGAAGAUAAUGACGGUACUUGAGGAGGAAGCCCCGGCAAAUUACGUGCCAGCAGCCGCGGUAAUACGUAGGGGGCUAGCGUUAUCCGGAAUUACUGGGCGUAAAGGGUGCGUAGGUGGUUUCUUAAGUCAGAGGUGAAGGGUUAGGGCUCAACCGUAGUAUGCCUUUGAAACUGGGAAACUUGAGUACAGGAGAGGUAAGUGGAAUUCGUGGUGUAGCGGUGAAAUGCGUAGAUAUUAGGAAGAACGCCGGUUGCGAAGGCAGCUCUCUGGACUGUAACUGACACUGAGGCACGAAAGCGUGGGGAGCAAACAGGAUUAGAUACCCCAGUAGUC